rnacentral:rRNA from 1 species
CCUGGUCUUGACAUCCACAGAAGAAUCCAGAGAUGGAUUUGUGCCUUCGGGAACUGUGAGACAGGUGCUGCAUGGCUGUCGUCAGCUCGUGUUGUGAAAUGUUGGGUUAAGUCCCGCAACGAGCGCAACCCUUAUCCUUUGUUGCCAGCGGUCCGGCCGGGAACUCAAAGGAGACUGCCAGUGAUAAACUGGAGGAAGGUGGGGAUGACGUCAAGUCAUCAUGGCCCUUACGACCAGGGCUACACACGUGCUACAAUGGCGCAUACAAAGAGAAGCGACCUCGCGAGAGCAAGCGGACCUCAUAAAGUGCGUCGUAGUCCGGAUUGGAGUCUGCAACUCGACUCCAUGAAGUCGGAAUCGCUAGUAAUCGUGGAUCAGAAUGCCACGGUGAAUACGUUCCCGGGCCUUGUACACACCGCCCGUCACACCAUGGGAGUGGGUUGCAAAAGAAGUAGGUAGCUUAACCUUCGGGAGGGCGCUUACCACUUUGUGAUUCAUGACUGGGGUGAAGUCGUAACAAGGUAACCGUAGGGGAACCUGCGGUUGGA